UACGUAGGCAGCAAGCGUUGUUCGGAAUUACUGGGCGUAAAGAGUGUGUAGGCGGUGCUCUAAGUUUGGUGUGAAAUCUCCCGGCUCAACUGGGAGGGUGCGCCGAAAACUGGAGUGCUUGAACGUGGGAGAGGAAAGCGGAAUUCCUGGUGUAGCGGUGAAAUGCGUAGAUAUCAGGAGGAACACCUGCGGUGUAGACGGCUUUCUGGACCAUUGUUGACGCUGAGACACGAAAGCGUGGGUAGCAAACAGG
rnacentral:rRNA from 1 species